ACGUGGGUAAUUUACCUUUUUGUGGGGAAUAACCCUGGGAAACCGGGGCUAAUACCGCAUACGUCCGAGAGGAGAAAGUCGCAAGACGCAGAGAGAGAAGCCCGCGGUCGAUUAGCUAGUUGGCAGGGUAAUGGCCUACCAAGGCGACGAUCGAUAGCCGGCCUGAGAGGGCACACGGCCACACUGGCACUGAAAUACGGGCCAGACUCCUACGGGAGGCAGCAGUGGGGAAUCUUGCACAAUGGGGGAAACCCUGAUGCAGCGACGCCGCGUGAGCGAUGAAGCCCUUCGGGGUGUAAAGCUCUUUCGACGGGGACGAUAAUGACGGUWCCCGGAGAAGAAGCUGCGGCGUGCCAACAACCCGCGGGUUAUUCCGUUAGG
rnacentral:rRNA from 1 species